UAGAGUUUGAUCCUGGCUCAGGAUGAACGCUGGCGGCGUGCCUAAUACAUGCAAGUCGAGCGAACGGAUAAGGAGCUUGCUCCUUUGAAGUUAGCGGCGGACGGGUGAGUAACACGUGGGUAACCUACCUAUAAGACUGGAAUAACUUCGGGAAACCGGAGCUAAUGCCGGAUAACAUUUGGAACCGCAUGGUUCUAAAGUAAAAGAUGGUUUUGCUAUCACUUAUAGAUGGACCCGCGCCGUAUUAGCUAGUUGGUAAGGUAACGGCUUACCAAGGCAACGAUACGUAGCCGACCUGAGAGGGUGAUCGGCCACACUGGAACUGAGACACGGUCCAGACUCCUACGGGAGGCAGCAGUAGGGAAUCUUCCGCAAUGGACGAAAGUCUGACGGAGCAACGCCGCGUGAGUGAUGAAGGUUUUCGGAUCGUAAAACUCUGUUAUUAGGGAAGAACAAAUGUGUAAGUAACUGUGCACAUCUUGACGGUCCCUAAUCAGAAAGCCGCGGCUAANAA
rnacentral:rRNA from 1 species